rnacentral:rRNA from 1 species
AGAAGGCAGCAGUGGGGAAUAUUGGGCAAUGGGGGCAACCCUGACCCAGCGACGCCGCGUGAGUGAAGAAGUAUUUCGGUAUGUAAAGCUCUAUCCGCAGGGAAGAUAAUGACGGUACCUGACUAAGAAGCCCCGGCUAACUACGUGCCAGCAGCCGCGGUAAUACGUAGGGGGCAAGCGUUAUCCGGAUUUACUGGGUGUAAAGGGAGCGUAGGCGGCGUUGCAAGUCAGAUGUGAAACCCCGGGGCUUAACUCCGGGACUGCAUUUGAAACUGUGAUGCUAGGGUGCGGGAGAGGUAAGCGGAAUUCCUAGUGUAGCGGUGAAAUGCGUAGAUAUUAGGAAGAACACCAGUGGCGAAGGCGGCUUACUGGACCGUAACUGACGCUGAGGCUCGAAAGCGUGGGGAGCAAACAGGAUUAGAUACCCUGGUA